GCGAAGGUGGCGGAAUUGGUAGACGCGCUAGCUUCAGGUGUUAGUGUCUUAACAGACGUGAGGGUUCAAGUCCCUCUCUUCGCACCA
rnacentral:tRNA from 3 species